rnacentral:rRNA from 1 species
GAUGAACGCUGGCGGCGUGCCUAAUACAUGCAAGUCGAGCGAACAGACGAGGAGCUUGCUCCUCUGACGUUAGCGGCGGACGGGUGAGUAACACGUGGAUAACCUACCUAUAAGACUGGGAUAACUUCGGGAAACCGGAGCUAAUACCGGAUAAUAUAUUGAACCGCAUGGUUCAAUAGUGAAAGACGGUUUUGCUGUCACUUAUAGAUGGAUCCGCGCCGCAUUAGCUAGUUGGUAAGGUAACGGCUUACCAAGGCGACGAUGCGUAGCCGACCUGAGAGGGUGAUCGGCCACACUGGAACUGAGACACGGUCCAGACUCCUACGGGAGGCAGCAGUAGGGAAUCUUCCGCAAUGGGCGAAAGCCUGACGGAGCAACGCCGCGUGAGUGAUGAAGGUCUUCGGAUCGUAAAACUCUGUUAUUAGGGAAGAACAAAUGUGUAAGUAACUAUGCACGUCUUGGCGGUACCUAAUCAGAAAGCCACGGCUAACUACGUG